GACGAACGCUGGCGGCGUGCCUAACACAUGCAAGUCGAACGGAGUUGUUCCUUCGGGGACAGCUUAGUGGCGAACGGGUGAGUAACGCGUGAGAAACCUGCCUUUCAGUGGGGGACAACAGUUGGAAACGACUGCUAAUACCGCAUAAUGUACCGAUGGGGCAUCCUGUUGAUACCAAAGAUUUAUUGCUGAAAGAUGGUCUCGCGUCUGAUUAGCUAGUUGGUGAGGUAACGGCUCACCAAGGCGACGAUCAGUAGCCGGUCUGAGAGGAUGAACGGCCACAUUGGGACUGAGAUACGGCCCAGACUCCUACGGGAGGCAGCAGUGGGGAAUAUUGGGCAAUGGGGGAAACCCUGACCCAGCAACGCCGCGUGAAGGAAGAAGGCCUUCGGGUUGUAAACUUCUUUUACCAGGGACGAAGAACGUGACGGUACCUGGAGAAAAAGCAACGGCUAACUACGUGCCAGCAGCCGCUGUAACAC
rnacentral:rRNA from 1 species